rnacentral:lncRNA from 1 species
UGGGUAUGAAGAGGUGGCCAUGCUUGCAUGGCUCCCAUGCAUGCAUAGAGCUUCAUGCAAACGUGGGGAAUGACGGAAAUGAACGAAUGGGGAUGCAUGGGAGGUUAUGAAGGAUCAGGUGGGUAGUACGAACAUGGGUAUGGUGAUUGUAACGGAGGGUGGCAAGUGGAUAUGUGAAUGUAGAGAGAGAGGAGGGUGGUGACGGGUAUGUCGGUUAGAAGGAUGAUGAGGUGAGGGUGACCAUGCAUUUUGGACCUCAUGCACAUGGGGAAAUGGUGGAAGUAAGUUGAAGGUGGGUUAGAUGGGUGGGCAAGAAGGGUGGUGGAGUGAUGAGGAUUAAGCAAACACAAGAACAUGAAACACAUGAUGAUACGGAGCCCCAUUACAGGUGACGCCCAUAAGCUUAAAACAAGUGAGAUUAACAAGGAAAAUAAACAAGGGUUUCAUAUAUCAAGCUUCAGAAACAAACUCAUG